GCCUGCGGACCCAAUAUCCACGUUGAAUGCACGCCAUCCCCGUCCGAUUCUGGCCAGGUUAAGCAACGUUGAGUCCAGUUAGUACUUGGAUCGGAGACGGGCCUGGCGAAUCCUGGAUGUUGUAAGCU
rnacentral:rRNA from 1 species